rnacentral:rRNA from 1 species
GACGAACGCUGGCGGCGUGCUUAACACAUGCAAGUCGAACGGAAAGGCCCUGCUUUUGUGGGGUGCUCGAGUGGCGAACGGGUGAGUAACACGUGAGUAACCUGCCCUUGACUUUGGGAUAACUUCAGGAAACUGGGGCUAAUACCGGAUAGGAGCUCCUGCUGCAUGGUGGGGGUUGGAAAGUUUCGGCGGUUGGGGAUGGACUCGCGGCUUAUCAGCUUGUUGGUGGGGUAGUGGCUUACCAAGGCUUUGACGGGUAGCCGGCCUGAGAGGGUGACCGGCCACAUUGGGACUGAGAUACGGCCCAGACUCCUACGGGAGGCAGCAGUGGGGAAUAUUGCACAAUGGGCGGAAGCCUGAUGCAGCAACGCCGCGUGCGGGAUGACGGCCUUCGGGUUGUAAACCGCUUUCGCCUGUGACGAAGCGUGAGUGACGGUAAUGGGUAAAGAAGCACCGGCUAACUACGUGCCAGCAGCCGCGGUGAUACGUAGGGUGCGAGCGUUGUCCGGAUUUAUUGGGCGUAAAGGGCUCGUAGGUGGUUGAUCGCGUCGGAAGUGUAAUCUUGGGGCUUAACCCUGAGCGUGCUUUCGAUACGGGUUGACUUGAGGAAGGUAGGGGAGAAUGGAAUUCCUGGUGGGGCGGUGGAAUGCGCAGAUAUCAGGAGGAACACCAGUGGCGAAGGCGGUUCUCUGGGCCUUUCCUGACGCUGAGGAGCGAAAGCGUGGGGAGCGAACAGGCUUAGAUACCCUGGUAGUCCACGCUGUAAACGGUGGGUACUAGGUGUGGGGUCCAUUCCACGGGUUCCGUGCCGUAGCUAACGCUUUAAGUACCCCGCCUGGGGAGUACGGCCGCAAGGCUAAAACUCAAAGGAAUUGACGGGGCCCCGCACAAGCGGCGGAGCAUGCGGAUUAAUUCGAUGCAACGCGUAGAACCUUACCUGGGUUUGACAUGGAUCGGGAGUGCUCAGAGAUGGGUGUGCCUCUUUUGGGGUCGGUUCACAGGUGGUGCAUGGCUGUCGUCAGCUCGUGUCGUGAGAUGUUGGGUUAAGUCCCGCAACGAGCGCAACCCUUGUUCACUGUUGCCAGCACGUUAUGGUGGGGACUCAGUGGAGACCGCCGGGGUCAACUCGGAGGAAGGUGGGGAUGACGUCAAGUCAUCAUGCCCCUUAUGUCCAGGGCUUCACGCAUGCUACAAUGGCUGGUACAGAGAGUGGCGAGCCUGUGAGGGUGAGCGAAUCUCGGAAAGCCGGUCUCAGUUCGGAUUGGGGUCUGCAACUCGACCUCAUGAAGUCGGAGUCGCUAGUAAUCGCAGAUCAGCAACGCUGCGGUGAAUACGUUCCCGGGGCUUGUACACACCGCCCGUCAAGUCAUGAAAGUUGGUAACACCCGAAGCCGGUGGCCUAACCGUUGUGGGGGAGCCGUCGAAGGUGGGACUGGUGAUUAGGACUAAGUCGUAACAAGGUAGCCGUACCGGAAGG